rnacentral:rRNA from 1 species
UACGUAGGGGGCUAGCGUUGUCCGGAUUUAUUGGGCGUAAAGAGCGUGUAGGCGGCCUGGUAGGUCUGCUGUGAAAACUCGAGGCUCAACCUCGAGAUGUCGGCGGAAACCAUCUGGCUAGAGUCCGGAAGAGGAGAGUGGAAUUCCUGGUGUAGCGGUGAAAUGCGCAGAUAUCAGGAAGAACACCCGUGGCGAAGGCGGCUCUCUGGGACGUGACUGACGCUGAGACGCGAAAGCGUGGGGAGCAAACAGG